GACGAACGCUGGCGGCGUGCUUAACACAUGCAAGUCGAACGGAAAGGCCCUGCUUUUGUGGGGUGCUCGAGUGGCGAACGGGUGAGUAACACGUGAGUAACCUGCCCUUGACUUUGGGAUAACUUCAGGAAACUGGGGCUAAUACCGGAUAGGAGCUCCUGCUGCAUGGUGGGGGUUGGAAAGUUUCGGCGGUUGGGGAUGGACUCGCGGCUUAUCAGCUUGUUGGUGGGGUAGUGGCUUACCAAGGCUUUGACGGGUAGCCGGCCUGAGAGGGUGACCGGCCACAUUGGGACUGAGAUACGGCCCAGACUCCUACGGGAGGCAGCAGUGGAGAAUAUUGCACAAUGGGCGGAAGCCUGAUGCAGCAACGCCGCGUGCGGGAUGACGGCCUUCGGGUUGUAAACCGAUUUCGCCUGUGACGAAGCGUGAGUGACGGUAAUGGGUAAAGAAGCACCGGCUAACUACGUG
rnacentral:rRNA from 1 species